UGGGGAAUAUUGCACAAUGGGCGCAAGCCUGAUGCAGCCAUGCCGCGUGUGUGAAGAAGGCCUUCGGGUUGUAAAGCACUUUCAGCGAGGAGGAAGGUGGUGAGCUUAAUACGCUCAUCAAUUGACGUUACUCGCAGAAGAAGCACCGGCUAACUCCGUGCCAGCAGCCGCGGUAAUACGGAGGGUGCAAGCGUUAAUCGGAAUUACUGGGCGUAAAGCGCACGCAGGCGGUUUGUUAAGUCAGAUGUGAAAUCCCCGGGCUCAACCUGGGAACUGCAUUUGAAACUGGCAAGCUAGAGUCUCGUAGAGGGGGGUAGAAUUCCAGGUGUAGCGGUGAAAUGCGUAGAGAUCUGGAGGAAUACCGGUGGCGAAGGCGGCCCCCCUGGACGAAGACUGACGCUCAGGUGCGAAAGCGUGGGGCAGCAAACAGGAUUAGAUACCCUGGUAGUCCACGCUGUAAACGAUGUCGAUUUGGAGGUUGUGCCCCUUGAGGCGUGGNUUCCGGAGCUAACGCGUUAAAGUCGACCGCCUGGGGGAGUACGGCNCAAGGUUAAAACUUAAAUGAAUUG
rnacentral:rRNA from 1 species